rnacentral:rRNA from 1 species
AACGAACGCUGGCGGCAGGCCUAACACAUGCAAGUCGAGCGAGGACUUCGGUCCUAGCGGCGGACGGGUGAGUAACGCGUGGGAACGUGCCCUUUGCUUCGGAAUAGCCCUGGGAAACUGGGAGUAAUACCGAAUGUGCCCUAUGGGGGAAAGAUUUAUCGGCAAAGGAUCGACCCGCGUUGGAUUAGGUAGUUGGUGGGGUAAUGACCUACCAAGCCGACGAUCCAUAGCUGGUUUGAGAGGAUGAUCAGCCACACUGGGACUGAGACACGGCCCAGACUCCUACGGGAGGCAGCAGUGGGGAAUCUUAGACAAUGGGCGCAAGCCUGAUCUAGCCAUGCCGCGUGAGCGAUGAAGGCCUUAGGGUUGUAAAGCUCUUUCAGGUGGGAAGACAAUGACUGUACCACCAGAAGAAGCCCCGGCUAACUCCGUGCCAGCAGCCGCCGCCG